rnacentral:rRNA from 1 species
GUGGGGAAUUUUGGACAAUGGGCGCAAGCCUGAUCCAGCAAUGCCGCGUGCAGGAAGAAGGCCUUCGGGUUGUAAACUGCUUUUGUACGGAACGAAACGGUCCUGGCUAAUAUCCGGGGCUAAUGACGGUACCGUAAGAAUAAGCACCGGCUAACUACGUGCCAGCAGCCGCGGUAAUACGUAGGGUGCGAGCGUUAAUCGGAAUUACUGGGCGUAAAGCGUGCGCAGGCGGUUUUGUACGACAGGCUUGAAAUCCCCGGGCUCAACCUGGGAAUUGCGAUUGGGACUGCAAGGCUGGAGUGCGGCAGAGGGGGAUGGAAUUCCGCGUGUAGCAGUGAAAUGCGUAGAUAUGCGGAGGAACACCGAUGGCGAAGGCAAUCCCCUGGGCCUGCACUGACGCUCAUGCACGAAAGCGUGGGGAGCAAACAGGAUUAGAAACCCUAGUAGUCC